UGGGGAAUAUUGCACAAUGGGGGAAACCCUGAUGCAGCGACGCCGCGUGAGCGAUAAAGUAUUUCGGUAUGUAAAGCUCUAUCAGCAGGGAAGAAAAUGACGGUACCUGGAGAAAAAGCAACGGCUAACUACGUGCCAGCAGCCGCGGUAAUACGUAGGUUGCGAGCGUUGUCCGGAUUUACUGGGUGUAAAGGGCGUGUAGGCGGAGAUGCAAGUUGGGAGUGAAAUCCAUGGGCUCAACCCAUGAACUGCUUCCAAAACUGUAUCCCUUGAGUAUCGGAGAGGCAAGCGGAAUUCCUAGUGUAGCGGUGAAAUGCGUAGAUAUUAGGAGGAACACCAGUGGCGAAGGCGGCUUGCUGGACGACAACUGACGCUGAGGCGCGAAAGCGUGGGGAGCAAACAGGAUUAGAUACCCUGGUAGUCCACGCUGUAAACGAUGAAUACUAGGUGUGGGAGGACUGACCCCUUCCGUGCCGCAGUUAACACAAUAAGUAUUCCACCUGGGGAGUACGACCGCAAGGUUGAAACUCAAAGGAAUUGACGGGGGCCCGCACAAGCAGUGGAUUAUGUGGUUUAAUUCGACGCAACGCGAAGAACCUUACCAGGACUUGACAUCCAACUAACGAAGUAGAGAUACAUUAGGUGCCCUUCGGGGAAAGUUGAGACAGGUGGUGCAUGGUUGUCGUCAGCUCGUGUCGUGAGAUGUUGGGUUAAGUCCCGCAACGAGCGCAACCCCUAUUGUUAGUUGCUACGAAAGAGCACUCUAGCGAGACUGCCGUUGACAAAACGGAGGAAGGCGGGGACGACGUCAAAUCAUCAUGCCCCUUAUGUCCUGGGCUACACACGUAAUACAAUGGUGGAAAACAGAGGGAAGCAAAGCCGCGAGGCAGAGCAAAACCCUAAAAGCCAUCUCAGUUCGGAUUGCAGGCUGCAACUCGCCUGCAUGAAGCUGGAAUUGCUAGUAAUCGCGGAUCAGAAUGCCGCGGUGAAUACGUUCCC
rnacentral:rRNA from 1 species